GGCGUGGCUAUCAGGGGGGCGGUGCUAGUCAAAUAUUGCCCUGCGGGGCGGGGAAACGAGACAGAGGUGCGAGUUGGGGAUAGGCUACCACUUUCGGGGCGUGGCUUAUGAAGCCUCACUUUCCCGCCGACGGUUGGCCACAUCACGUGAUAUGGGUUGGAAGAUGGCGUCUCCCACUGACGGGACAGAUUUGGAAGCAUCUUUGCUAAGUUUUGAAAAACUUGAUCGAGCCUCACCAGAUCUUUGGCCAGAACAAUUGCCAGGUGUUGCUGAAUUUGCAGCUUCCUUCAAAAGUCCUAUUACUAGUUCUCCACCUAAGUGGAUGGCUGAAAUAGAACGUGAUGACAUUGAUAUGUUAAAAGAACUCGGGAGCCUAACAACAGCUAAUUUGAUGGAGAAGGUUCGAGGCCUACAGAACCUGGCCUAUCAGCUGGGGCUGGAUGAGUGCUGCUGGCUCCAAGGCAGGAUGGCAUGACAGAGGGACAUAGUGGAGGAAAUGCUGCUCUUGUCCAAGCAGCCAGAAAGCCCGAGGGAACAGAGGAGCCAGGGAGUGAGAUAAACCCUUUCAGGCACACCCCAGUGGGCCACCUUUUCCAGAGGCCUCAUCUCCUAACAGCGAGUCAGCCAGAGAGAUGACACGAGGGAAAUUUCUCAACAUUCUAGAGAAGCCCAAGAAGUAGCAGCUGCUUGUGCACAGGGACUGUAACCAAGCUCCCUCCCCAGUGCAGUUCUGACAAUGCGCACCUCAUGCUUCCUUGGGAGAGGCCAGAUCUCUACCUGCAGGACUGCCCCUCCCCGCUCCUGGCACUCUGCACCUCUGAGGACAUUUGGUGGCAAGAGAAGAAUCUGCUCUACCCAAGGAUCAUUGCCAUUAUUAAGUCAAUGUCUUAGCCCUGGAUAUUGGUAACACCAGAGGUCCUGUUGUUCUUAAAGGUCAAAGUUGUGCUUUCUCGUUUCCAAGUGAUUCGGGAGCCCCGGGAUCUUAUAGUUGAUUUGAUACUGUGAUGGCAAAGUCAAUUGUGACAUGUUGACUGGAUGGGUUCUUUUGAGUUGUACUUGAUCUCUUAGGAAGUAUUUAUGACCCGAGAAGAUAAAAGACCUACUGAUUCUGGACCAGACCAUGCAUCCUGACCUGUGAACUCUCCAGUCUGUACUAAGUUUCAAGAUUCUCCAGCUGGAGAAACCAGAAUCUUCUCAAAAUACCUGCUUUUAAAAUCCUACCCUUCUCAUGACAGUCCCACCCUCAAUGCCAUUCAUUUCUCUACCUCCCAGCCCACCUUCCAGGUCUGACUCCAAGCCAAGAGAUCCCCCAGUAGCUUGAAGAACAAAAGGCCCAUGCUGAUUGCAUUGAAUUGUCUGUUAUAGAUUUAAGUGAAAGUCAGUAUGGCCUGACGGGAAAAGAGCAUGGUUUGUGGAAGUUCCCAUUUGAAUGAAAACUAGAAUCCCUAAUUAACCUAGUGUGUGCUGUGGGAUGGAGACAAUGUUCUGUUCCCCUUGUCCCCAUUGCAGCAUGUGUGAGAUCCUUAACCCAUAUGGCGGAAACACACACGCACGUGCAUGUAUGCAAAAGAGAAAGAGAAUUUCCUGACCUACAUAAACUUUUUAUGGAGUUCUUCCCAGUUAUGUGUCCGUUAAAACCCGAAAAGCUAGGGCUGGGAAUUUAGCUCAUUGGCACCAUGCCUACCUCACAAGCGCAAGGUCCUGAGUUUGAUCCCCAGUACCAAAAAACAAAACUGAAAAGCUCACCCAUGGGUAAAAUCAGUAAUAUAUGUUCUCUCAUAUUUUGAGAAGUACAUAAAGUUUCGUAUCCCUGUGGGGAUAGUGCAGUGAUGGUGGGAUACAGGAAAUUUGUAGCCAAUUUGUGGUCUCGAGUGUCUGCUAAGGUACCACACUCUAGUUUAACCACUGAUUCUUUGACCAUUUUCUGACAUUUGUGCAUGUUUCCCAUACUAGAGCUAAUUUUUGGUUCUUCUCUUAUUUGGGCCUUCUGACCAUCUACACAAUUUCACUUUUUGAAAGAAAAAAAAAAGCACAGAACACAAUGGAUGAUUGUGAGAAGGAAAAUACUCUGGCUGGCGUGCUCCCUGAAAGUGUCAGGUUUAGAGUCUUUAAUUAAGCUUAUGAUUGACAUUUCUUGAUCUCUCUAAAUGCAGUCAAAGAGUAUGUGUGUGUGCAUGUGUGGAGAUGGCCAAAAUUAGUGCCAUAUCGAAUUUUUCUUCCCUCUAUCUUUGAGAGUUGAUGCUGUCAGGCACUUUGAAGUGUUUGGGGAAUUGAGAAGUAUAACAGCGAAUACUGGGAUACCUCCCCCAAGCCAGUCAAGUCUGUAACCGGAAGCCAAGAGUUGGUUCUCUAAUCUGCUUUGGGCUCCUCCUUUUACUGUCUGUCAUCGUAUUCACCAGCACUUAAUGUAAGUAGGUGUUUUAGAAUUUCAAUAUUUAUUGGUUUUGUAUUUGUUGUCCUUAGAAAUGUUAAUGAUGUAUUUUUAUAUUGAUAAUAUAAAUUUAUGUACAGUGUGUAUGUGUAUGUAUUUUAGGCUAUUAGAGGAUUGUACCUUGUAUAUUAUGUCCUCAUAAUAAAUACGUCCCUUUUAUAGGGGGGUUUUUCCUCAAA